UAGUCCACGCCGUAAAUGAUGGACACUAGUUGUUGGAAUUAUUCAGUGACUAAGCGAAAGUGAUAAGUGUCCCACCUGGGGAGUACGAUCGCAAGAUUGAAACUCAAAGGAAUUGACGGGGGCCCGCACAAGCGGUGGAGCAUGUGGUUUAAUUCGAUGAUACGCGAGGAACCUUACCAGGGCUUAAAUGUAGGUUGCAUUAGCUAGAGAUAGCUAUUUCUUCGGACUACUUACAAGGUGCUGCAUGGUUGUCGUCAGCUCGUGCCGUGAGGUGUCAGGUUAAGUCCUAUAACGAGUGCAACCCUUGUCGUUAGUUGCCAGCAUUUAAAGAUGGGGACUCUAACGAGACUGCCGGUGCAAACCGNGAGGAGGUGGGGAUGACGUCAAAUCAUCACGGCCCUUACGUCCUGGGCUACACACGUGCUACAAUGGUAUGGACAGAGAGCAGCCACCUGGCAACAGGGAGCGAAUCUACAAACCAUAUCACAGUUCGGAUCGGG
rnacentral:rRNA from 1 species